rnacentral:lncRNA from 10 species
CAGGAGGCUGAGGCACAAGAAUCACUUGAACCCAGGAGGCGGAGGUUGCAGUGAGCCAAUUUGCGCCACUGCACUCUAGCCUGGGCGGCAGAGCAAGACUAUUUCAAAAAUAAUAAUAGUAAUAGGAACAACACGAAAAAACUGUGGGUAUAAUGAAAGAAACUUUUAGCAAAUAAACAAAAUCUGAAAAAACUAGAAUCAGGCCCCAGAAAUUCAUGACACUAUUUAAAACAGACUGGCUGAGGUUAAAAUAGACUCAUUAGAGUCUUUGUAAGUUUAACAUAUUUUUAUUUCUAUAAUAUUUUUCCCCAUGGAGAAAUAAAUACUAUUGUACUCACUAUGUGUAUUUCUACAAUCCCUUUUUGGGAUGAGGCAGGGUAUGUAUGAAUAAGUAGAAUGUAUCUUUAUUAUUUAUUUAUUUAUUUUGAGAUGGAGUCUCACUCUGUGGCCCAGGCUGGAGUGCAAUGGCGCGAUCUUGGCUCACUGUAACCUCCGCCUCUCAGGUUCAAGCGAUUCUCCUGCUUCAGCCUCCCAAGUAGCUGGAAUUAUAGGCACCCACCACCACGCCCAGCUAAUUUUUGUGUUUUCAGUAGAGACGGGGUUCCACAACGUUGGCCAGGCUGGUCUCAAACUCCUGACCUCAGGCGAUCUGCCUGUCUCAGCCUCCCAAAGUGAUGGGAUUACAGGCGUGAGGCACCACGCCCGGCCGGAAUGAUACUUUAAUCGUCGUUCUCAGAUGAGUCCCUGAGAUAAAUGGUCAAAAAUCAGUUGUAGCAAAGUAGGAAGUAGGAAAACUUUUAGUCAUUUAUUUUCCAUAGUCCAUAUUAUUAACUACAUUUCCACACACAAAUGAGCUGUUACUUAACAUUACAAACAUUCAACUACCACACAUCUAAUGCACUUUGAAGGGGUCUCUUUUCUUUUCUUUCUUUUUUUUUUUUUGAGACGGAGUCUCACUCUGUUGCCCAGGCUGGAGUGCAGUGGUGCGAUCUCGACUCACUGCAAGCUCUGCCUCCCGGGUUGACGCCAUUC